GGCGAAGCCAAGGACCUGUGCUCCUCCGUCGGUGCUCUGGCUGCCAGGAGCAUCGAAUUUAAAGAAGUGGCCAUGCUGCCGGCAUCAGACCCCACUGUGGCCACAGGGAGAGCCACGGAGUUCAAACAACAGCUCCAGCACCUCGCCAACCAGGUGAGGUCAAAUGAGCAAUUUGACCUCCUCACGCACACCUUGGGGCCAGGAAUGGUAGAGGUGGUGGUGGAUAUUUUUUAAAAGUGUGUUGACACACACAUUGAAAAUAUUAACAAUUAGCAAUUUGUUGUUUGUUGUGUUCAUUAAUUAAAUAUCUUCAUGUUCUA